UUUGACGUCUAGAUGAGCCAAAAAGUUGAUUUGUAUUUUAAUAUUUGUAUAUUAAUUUUUUUAUUAUUUUUUUUGAUGGAUAGUGAUAACUUUUUUGGUAACUUUUUGGUUUUUUUUUUAAAGUUCCCAAACCAGGCCUAUAAUUUUGGAGUUUUUAUUAGUAGCAUGUGUUUUAACUAGGUCAUGGGUUCAAUUUUCCCUUGGUGCUUUUCAAUGGGUGGAGAUGCUAAUGUCUAUAGGUGCUAAUGUAACAAUUAACAACUAACUUUCGCCAAUCAAAAAAAAAAAAAAAAAGCAUGUGUUUUAAAGUCACUUCUGGUGCAACAAAAUUGUUUUAUUACGCAAGUUUUAGAAGCUCAUUACCAAACUUGAUUGGUCUGGAAUGAAAACAUCAUUUUGAGGCCAAAGUCGUGCGUUCAAAACACGAUUGAUAUUAUGUUUUAAUAGUUGUGUUUUGAAACACGAUUGAUAUUAUGUUUUAAUAGUUGUGUUUUGAAAUCAUGGCUUUGAGCUCAAAGUUGUGUUCUUUCAUUCCAUGUGGUGAAAAAAUCAAAAGUUUUAGCCUUAUGUAAUAAAGUUAUCCGACAAUGUGAUUUUGUAUCUUGUGUAACGGGUACAUCAUGAUGGUCUAUUUACAUAAUAGAAAUAUAUCAACGUGGUGUGUCUGUUACACAAGAUUUUACCUCCAAUAGUGGGAUUGUUGCAUAUACUAGUAUAUUGUUAUUUCAUUGAAAAGUUGCUUCUAUAGCAAUCAUUCAAUAUUGACACUGGGCAGGAACUUUUUUGUUUGGUGUUGGCAUAUAUUAUUGACAUGUCAAAAAUGUCAAUGCUUUAGUUGUCUUAUUAAUCGACAUGAUAUUUGAUACGGUCAUUUGCAUAACAAAAUAUUGUAUUUAAAAUCAAGGAAUAACUAUUAUUUCGAAGUAUAGCGGUUAAGGCCAAGUGUCGAUUCUUGGGGACUAAUCGAAUUGUUUUAUUUCAGAAAUAAUAAUUAAAGUGAUUGGUUUUGAAAAUAAUAAACAAUUAAAAAAAAGAAAAGAGAGGCAUGCCUCCCAUGUCUUGAGAGAAGGUGUGGGAGGCAUGGUUAUCUUCUUUUUUUUUUUUUAAAAUUUAUUUUAUAAUAUAUAUAAUAUAAUAUAUAAAAUAUCUAAAACGUAUUAUUUACACUAAAUUUAUAUAUAAACACCUAAAAUAUAUACAAACACACAAAAUUAUAAAAUAAUACAAAUUAAUGGACUAAUAAAAUGUAUGUUAGUGGGCCAAAUGUGUAAUAUUUAGGCUCCGAUCAAUAUUACAUUCUCAUGUCAAAUAUUAGCGUAGCAAAUAGAAUUAUGUUCAAAUUUUUAAGAGAAAAGUUGUGUGUGUGUCUUGGUCUCCUGCUAGUAUUUGUCCUUGGAUUGUAAAUUGGUGCUCUAGCAAGUUGUUCUGAGAAUUGAGUUCUUGUACAGUUAAGUGAAAGGAAAAUUGAACGGGAAAAAGUAAUGUAUUUUGUACUUCUAUUUCAUAUAUUAAUAUUGUAUUAUGCUUUUUCUCAAACAACAAUAAAUGAAUAAAAGUGAAAUGGAAAGAGAAUAUAUUUGGUUUUUUGUUUUUGUUUCUAAAUGUGGUCUUCUUUAAUUUGGGGUUGGAAUUUGUGUAUUGAAUAGUUCUUGCUAUGUUCUACUGAAGGCUCUUACAAGUUCUGUUUCAUAGUUUUGUUGAUCUCUAUCUUCACCAUGAAGAGGUCAUGGAAAUAUGGAUAGACAACUUCAGAGAAUCUGGUUUCAUGUUGGUGAUCAAAAAAAGAAUUUAGUUUCUAGUUUUGCUAUUACUCCAGCAAAAUGGUUUGCCACUAGCAUUCUUUCACAUUGAUGAGAUUUUACAAUGGAUUAUGGCUUUUAGUGGUUUAAAGAGGUUAUUUAAAGGGAAUUGCUAUUGCUAAAUAAUGUAUAUUGGUUUACUCAGAUUGUAUAUUGGUGAUCAGUCAAGUUCUUGUCUAGUUAAGCGAAAUGGAAAAAGAUUUGUGCAAUAUGUGGUUGUUUUUGUUUUUGUUUUUCAAUGUGGUUUUCUUUAGUUUGGGUGAAAUUUGCGUAUUGAAAGUGUUUCAUAUGUUCUAUUGAACCAUGUUAUGAGUUCUACACUGUCAACUUAUUAAAUAUUUUUGUUUCUCCAAAUAACCAUGGUUGAUUUAUGUAGAUGAUGCCACUAGUUUCGCAGUUUUCUUGAGUUAGUCUCUUUGUCAUGAAGAGACAUCUUUGGAGAAUUUGGUUUCAAGUUUUCGCUAUUACUUAAGCAAAAUGGUUUGCUAUUAUCAUUCUUUCAUAUUGAUGAGAUUUGAUAAUGGAUGGCUUCAUUUCUCUCCAUGGUAGACUAAAGCAAGAUAGGCUAUUAGAUUUGAAUAAUGGCAGCAAUUUCAAAAUUGUAUGCAUUAUUGUGCUUCUCUAUUGAUGAUGAUGGUUGCUGUUGAGUAAUUCUUAUUUUUGAGCUUUACAGAAGAUAAGGUAGAGAUAAGGUGGCCUGUUGGUCAUGUUGUUUCUUUCCUACCAAUGCAGCUGGAUGGCGAGGCUUUGUGAUUAAUUUUAUUUCUUUUCUAGCAGAGUUGGUGCUUGUCCUGUUGAAUCAAUUGCUUGUAAUUUUAGCAGAGAAGGAAAGAGGGUAUGUUUUGUGAAUGCUGGUGUCAUGCAAUUUGUAGAACCGGUCAUUGGUGUUUGAUAUUGCAGCUGUUAAAUAUUUCUGCAAACAAAUUCUGCAAACAAAUUCUGCAUUGCUGUGAUACAAUUUUGUAGAGUAUUUUGAUUGCAUGUCAUACAAAUCCAGACUUUUGAGCUCACAAUGAAAUCCUUGAGUAAGGCUUAUUACAUUGUUUUUACUAGUAGGGAUUAUAAUUGUAGAAAGAGUGAUUGCACAAUUGAAUGGAAGCUAGCUUGCUCGUUUAAAUAUAAGCUAGCUUGUUCGUUGAAAAUAUACCAGUAGGGAUCAUAAUUAGGGGUGAUCGUGGUUCGGUUGCGGCUGGGGAACCUUUGAUCCGCCAUUCGUCUGCCAAAUUGGCAGAUGUGGAUUGAGCGGAUUGGCGGGCGAAUGCGAAUCAGUUUGACGGUUUAAACUUUUACAAAUUUUGAACAUAAUACAACAAUUUGUUAACAUUUUUUUUAGAUAACAUUCCAACAUAACAUAAUCAAAAGAUUAUCAAGUAAAUUGUCAAAUACUAAUAAUAAAUACAUUAAGAAAACUAAACAUUAUUAAAACUAUUUUAUUUGAUUUUAAAAAAAAAAUGACAAAAUUAAGCCUUAUAUUUUUUACACUAAUAAUACCAAAUAUCAACCCUUGCCUUUUGAUAAAAGGAUUUCGAAAUUGAAAACAUAACAGAAUAUUUAAACUCUUUCUCAAUCAAAAACACAAACACAAACAGAAUAUUUAAAAAAAUUGAAAACACAAAGUCUUACAAAUUGCUAGGGGUGCUUCCGGUUUGAGAGUUCGGUUGCAGUCAAAGGAAUCUUAAAUCCGUCAUCCGUCUAAAACUAGGCGGAUUGAAAAAAAAUUAAUCCGCAAACAUCCUCUCGUUAUCAUACAUUCGUUCAAAAUGCGGCGAAUCGGUUUGGUCGGUUUGGAUUGUUUGGAAUAUCCUCUGAGCACCCCUGAUUAUACUUAUCAGUUGCAUUGAGGUCUCCUUUGGUACUCAAGUGUAAGCUAGUUUGUUCGUCUAAAAUAAGCUACAAAUAAGCGAAGCAAAGCUUUUUAACAGAUUUAGUUGAUAAGGAGGGUGGUUUGGGCAAUGAUAUGAUUGAACGUAAUAGAUGCUCAAAAUCCGUUUCUGUUACUAAUAUGGUAACGUGGGUUGUAGAUAGUUUAAUUCAUAAAAUUGUGGUUGAUGGCUCAUUAUAUAACAAUCAGGUGAUAACAAAUGCUGCAGGUUUUUUUGCUUUGUCAUCUACUAUUGUGGAAGCAAAAUCAUGUUUUGAAGUUGUUCUAUGGUGUGUCGACGUUCACUCAGUGAAGGUUAUUAAUAUCUUCACGGAGUCUCUCUCUCUCUCUCUCUAUAUAUAUAUAUAUAUAGAUAUAUAAAUAUGUAUGUCUGUGUUCAUGUAUAUGCAUGUAUUUCAGCUUUAUUAAUUUGUAAUUCUACUUAAUUUGUCAAAUAUGUGCUUUGGAAAACAGAGAUUGCGAUGAGGAUAAAAAGCUCCCUCUUCUGAAAUCUAAAGUUGAGGACGAAUUGCUGGCAGAAUCGAGCUACUACUUUUUAAGCCACCCCUGAGGUAAUGAGAAUUUUACAAUUAUUUUCCGAGAGAAUGUGAAAUUGACUCUGAAGAAGGCUUUGACAAUAUGGUAGUUGAAGGUAUACAAAAUAAAAUUUGUCUCUGAUUUCUUCCAGAAACUUUGAAGCUUUCAAAUGGAAAUUCAGUUUUGAUUGUGAUUUGGUUUCUCCUCGUAAGGGCUUCUGUCAAAUUUUUGAUACAGGUUCAUAUGGUGAAGGCCAGUUUUACAGCAGAUUUUGGAAUAGUUUCAGGCACAUUCUUGAAGUUGAAUCGUUAAAAUUUGAACAGAUUCGUGAUUGUUUGAACUGCGUCUGUCUAUAACCCCACUCAUUCUAAGUUGUAGGAGAUAGAAAUUAGUAUUGAAUUACAAUCUAAAUUAGAGUCAUAGUAGCUUUGAAUUUUUCGAUUUUUUGCUCUGUUUUUCUUCAUCCUCAUUUAGCUUUCUGCAUUAGAGAACACAAGUUUGGCUUGCCAUAUCUUGGAUCGUUCUGCUACGGUCUUGGAUUCUAGUUGUUGUAUCGAGGGAGGUUGGCGUUGACAACCUGAGCAUCUCGGUGGAGGGUGAAUGAAACCUUAAGGAAAUUGUGUCCCAACACAAGUCUCGACUAAUUUUGGUAUUGUAUCGUUAUGUAUUACAAUUUCUAGUUUAAUUUCUAGUAUAAUCUUAUUGCAUAUUUGUUUGUUUAAAGUAUUAUUGUUGUGUUUAUUGCUUUAUUUCUCUGAAAUAAUUUCAUUGUUUUCCCUUUUACUCUGGUUUGAUUAUAAAUCAAACCCAAAAUCAUUUUUGUGCUCACUUUGUAAGUGAAUUAAUUACAUCAUUUGUAAUAACUUUCCAACAGUUUUAAGGUUUAAAAUUUUGGUUGUGUUGAAUUUGUUUUUGUUACGAUCGAGUGUUUUAUUCUGUGUGGAUGUGGUUUUAUAGAAUUUUUCAUUAAAUUGCAAAAUAGCUAUUAUUUGUGGUUUAAGAAUGAUAACUGAAAAUGAGAGUGCUGAGACUUAUCCUACCCUGUUCCUAUCUCGGGAAUUGUGAUGCCAACAGUAACUCUAUCAGUAUCGAUCAAUCAUGGGAAAAAACGAGAAAAGUUUAUUGGAAUUGAUUUUAAAUGAUGGCAACAAAAAAUGUUAUUUUAUCUUACCACUUUAAAUUUGGCUCGAUAUGCCCAUGAAAUUGUACUAGUGCUGAGCGAGGGAGAAAUUGACCGGCAAAUUGUGGCUGCAGUGGAAGCCUGGAAGCAUGGGGACUUUUUGUGUUGGAAUUAUAUUCUCAAUAGUCUUGCAAACACACUUUGUAAUGUGUAUUACGUGAAGGGAAUUGCUAGAGAAUUGUGGGAAUCUUUAGAACUACAAUAUAAGACAUAAGAUGCUAGCGCAAAGAAAUUUGUUGGAUUAUAUGAUGGUUGAUUCCAAGACUAUUAUUAGUCAAGGGCAAGACUUUUAGUUAAUUCUUCAUGAGAUUCAUGCUGAAGGAAUGACUCUUAGUGAAUCCUUUCAAGUUGUGGCAAUUAUUGAAAAGUUGCCACAAACAUGGAAGGAAUUUACGAAUUAUUUGAAGCAUGGAUGAAACUGGAGGAGUUGAUUGUGCGGAGUUGAUUGUGUGGCUUCGUAUAGAGGAGGAUAAACGUGGUUUUGACAAAAAGAUAGGCAGUCAUAUGAUUCGAGCCAAAGUGAAUGUUGUGGAACAAGGACGAUGCUCUAAAUUCAACAACAGAAAGAGGAAGUAUGAUGGUGAGAGUCCCAAGUAGGGCUUCCAAGAGUUGAACAACAAGAGGUACAAAGGCAAGUGUUUUGUGUGCGGUAGAGAUGGACAGUGAGCGAUGAAUUCCCAUCAACGCAAGGAUAACGGAGAUUCUAGCAAGAGACCUGCACAAGCACAUGUGACCAAAGUUAAAAACAUUUCAAAUGGGUUGGCAGACAUUAGUCUCUUUGCAGUGGUGUUAGAGGCAAAUUUGAUAGACAAUACCAAGGAAUGGUGGGUGGACAUGGGGCUACUUGUCAUAUUUGCGUCGACAAAAAGAUAUUUACGACCCAUAAUUUGGUGGAAAAUGGAGAACAACUCUUUAUUGGAAAUUCUUCAACCUCUAAAGUCGAGGGAUAAGGUAAUGUUGUGUUGAAGAUGACUUCGGGAAAUGAACUCACUCUCAACAAUGUACUCCGUUUUCUAGAUAUUCAAAAGAAUCUAAUUUUCGGGUCAUUGUUGAUUAAGAAUAGGUUUAAAUUAGUCUUUGAAUCUGAGAAGGUUGUUCUUUCCAAAAACGGGAUGUAUAUGGGAAAGGACUAUAUGUAUGAUGGGCUAUUAAGCUCAAUGUAUUAACUGUUGUACCCAAUAUUAUGAAUAAUAAUAAGAAUACUUUUUGUUUA